rnacentral:RNase_P_RNA from 10 species
GGCGGAGGGAAGCUCAUCGGUGGGGCUACGCGCUGAGUGCCUUAAGUCACUCUACCCCAUGUCCCCUGGGAAGGUCUGAGACUAGGGCCAAAAGCGGCCCUAACAGGGUCCUCCCUGAGUUGCGGGGAGGUGAGUUCCCAGAGAACGGGGCUCCGCGCGAGGGCAGACUGGGCAGGAGAUGCCAUGGACCCCGCCCUCGAGGAGGGGCCUGGCGGAUGCCUCCUUAGCCGGAGCUUGGAAAAGACUCACGGCCAGCGAAGUGAGUUCAAUGGCUGAGGUGAGGUACCCCCCAACGGGGGGGCCUCAUAACCCAAUUCAGACUACUCUCCCCCGUC